rnacentral:rRNA from 1 species
GAAACUAACAAGGAUUCCCCUAGUAGCGGCGAGCGAAGCGGGAAGAGCUCAAAUUUAUAAUCUGGCACCUUCGGUGUCCGAGUUGUAAUCUCUAGAAGUGUUUUCCGCGUUGGACCGCACACAAGUCUGUUGGAAUACAGCGGCAUAGUGGUGAAACCCCCGUAUAUGGUGCGGACGCCCAGCGCUUUGUGAUACACUUUCAAUGAGUCGAGUUGUUUGGGAAUGCAGCUCAAAUUGGGUGGUAAAUUCCAUCUAAAGCUAAAUAUUGGCGAGAGACCGAUAGCGAACAAGUACCGUGAGGGAAAGAUGAAAAGCACUUUGGAAAGAGAGUUAACAGUACGUGAAAUUGUUGGAAGGGAAACGCUUGAAGUCAGACUUGCUUGCCGGAGCUUGCUUCGGUUUGCAGGCCAGCAUCAGUUUUCCGGGGUGGAUAAUGACGGUUUGAAGGUAGCAGUCUCGGCUGUGUUAUAGCUUUCCGUUGGAUACAUCCUGGGGGACUGAGGAACGCAGCGUGCUUUUUGCGAAAGACUCGUCU